rnacentral:rRNA from 1 species
UUUAGAGGAAGUAAAAGUCGUAACAAGGUUUCCGUAGGUGAACCUGCGGAAGGAUCAUUAUUGAAAUAAACCUGAUGGGUUGUUGCUGGCUCUCUAGGGAAGCAUGUGCACGCCUUGUCAUCUUUAUAUCUCCACCUGUGCACCUUUUGUAGACCUUUCAGGUCUAUGUUGCUUCAUUUUCACCCAAUGUAUGUUAAUAGAAUGUUGUGCCUGUAUAAUAUAUACAACUUUCAGCAACGGAUCUCUUGGCUCUCGCAUCGAUGAAGAACGCAGCGAAAUGCGAUAAGUAAUGUGAAUUGCAGAAUUCAGUGAAUCAUCGAAUCUUUGAACGCACCUUGCGCUCCUUGGUAUUCCGAGGAGCAUGCCUGUUUGAGUGUCAUUAAUAUAAUCAAACCUUCUCUUGUAGAAGGGUUUGGAUGUGGGGGUUUUGCUGGCCUCUUAAAAAGGGUUCAGCUCUCCUGAAAUGCAUUAGCAGAACAAACCUUGUUCAUUGGUGUGAUAACUAUCUACGCUAUUGAAUAUUAAGGGGGCAGUUCAGCUUUCUAACGGUCCUUGGACAACUCAUCGUUAAUGUGACCUCAAAUCAGGUAGGACUACCCGCUGAACUUAAGCAUAUCAAUAAGCGGAGGA